GCCACCGGCACUGACGGAGAACAAGAGGAAGAAAAAAAUCAAUGAAACCCUGUUGUGUGGUCAGAGACGAGUUUGUUAAACAGAAAAUCAAUACUGAGCCUCUGCAUCUCUGGAUGUCGUAAUGUGUUGUUAAUCUGUUGGUGGAAUUCCCUCCCCAGCCCUGAUCGCACACAAUGUAAACACACAAAGAAGAAGAAGAAGAAGAAGAAGCAGAGAGGAGUUUGUAUUUUGUCAUUUCUGUAUUUUUGUCUCAUUUUCACAAAAACAUGAACAGGGGAAGGAAAAGCCUUUCAGUAGAACCUGAGGUAUUUUUGCAUCAAGCAGCCUAAGGUAUCAGGAUUUUCUUUUAAAAACUCAUCUAAAUUCAUCAGUGUUCUUAGAUGCGUUGCUAUUUACACAACAACAUAGUAAUAAUAAUAACAAUAAUAAUAAUAAUUUUAGCAAAUGGGACAGCCUGCAUCAUCCUUGUUACAUGUCAUAAAUAAUUCUAACAACAGUUUUUUAAAAAAUAUAAGGAGGGAGGUGAGGAAAAGAAAGGUUGCUUGAGCCCCGGGGGAAACAUAGGAAUCUAUCUGAACUUACUGUAGUUGCAGCAGCAUAAGGUCAAAAGUCAGAGAUUGCCAAAGAGUAAAGCUAAUCAAGGGUCAAAGGAAAAAUAAACACAUUUACAUCAUAAAUAAAUAACCAUCUCGCACCAGGAGAGCAUUCAUGUCUUUCACCUCAGGAUACCAAGAUCCUCACUUUUUUCCUUUCCAUUUUGUUACUGGUGUUUUUAAUCAAAGCUUUGGAAAAUAAGAAAUAAGAAAACAAAAAACAGACAGAAAGAAAGAAAAGCUAAGGAGCUUUAUGGACAUGCAUUGUGCUGAUGUACCAGCAGCUGUGUACCCUGUGUCGGGCUUGGCUCACUGAAAGAUCCCCUGAGAAUGAACAAAAGGGUGUGUGUGUGUGUGUAUGCGUGUGUGUGUGUUGGUUUCAGCUUUGGUGGAUGCACUGUAAUGAUGACUGAUAAACAUGUGCUGGCUCAGGGAGGACGCUCAGCCUUUAAAUCUCAAACUUGUGAAAGAUUGCGUCUGUUUGCAUAUAGCUGUUGUUAUGCAAGCCCUCAUGAAACUGGCAGAGGAUGUUUCACUGUGUGUGAGUGAUCAGAGAUUGCAUGGCUGCUCUGUCUCCCUCGUCACACAGACAAACAAAACAGUCUUUUUAGGUAACGCUUAAGCCCUCAAUUGAAAUCAACGAGGUCACGCUGCAGAUGAGCGAGAACAGCAGUGCUGUCCUUAAAAGAUAUUAGAGGGGAGUGUGUGUCAUCUUCUAAGUACAAAAAAAAAAAAAAAAAGAGUCAAAACUUGGCUUUAGGAGUAUCAUGUUGCAAGGAUGCGAAAGAUAAUUUGACUAAUUGUUACCAGAAAAGCAGAAAAGUGCAUCUCAGGAUCAUACAUCACUCUCCCCAAAGAAGGAACAUCACAUAUUGCUUUGCUUGAAUUUGUUGAAUGUGUGUAUUCGUUUGAGUGUGUG
ensembl:lncRNA